rnacentral:misc_RNA from 1 species
ACACCUCAACUCAUCAUGGUUUUCCAUGAUGAGCUUGGACUUUGGGGGUUUUGCUGGCUUACGGUCGGCUCCUCUAAAAUAAAUCAGCUUACCAGUGUUUGGUGGGUAUCAUGGGUGUGAUAACUAUCUACGCUUAUGGUUUUUCCACCAGGUAACCUUCAGCAGUGGAGGUUCACUGGAGCUCACAGACGUCUCUCCUCAGUGAGGACAGCCCUUUGAAC